UCCACAAUCGCGAGUCAAGAAUUUAGAUUGCAAGAGAAGAUUAGCAUGGCCCCUAUGCAAGGAUGACAUGCAAAUUUAUGAAGCGUUCCAUAUUUAA
ensembl:snRNA U6 U6 spliceosomal RNA